AGCCAUGGCAACAAAGAGCCUUGCGCUCACUACAGCAGAGCAUUCUGCCUUUGUCCGAUCCGGUCCGGUGCGUCAGUCUCUGCAAACAACAAAAGAUGUGGCCACUGACCGCCUGCCCCUGCUCCCAUCAGAGGACCAAGGGAAGCUGAGGCCUCUCUGACUGGAAGCAAGCUAGGAGAGCAGCAGACAGGUGAGUUCAUCCAUGCUUUUGGCUUCAAUUCUCACCUCCUGGAGGAAGACUUCUAGGGAAGGCAUUAUGGUUGACUCCCUAACUUCAGUUCCACCCCAGAUGAUUACUAUACAGCCAAGAUGAUGCUGCAAGAUUAGGGCAGGAUAGAAACUAGAGGAGCCCAGCUCUUCUCCUGAGACCUUCUCUUCAGAAGUGACAGACCUGCCACCUUUAUCUGUGAGAAAAACAGAUGACUCUGGUUCAAUCACUCCUUCCUGACACUUGGAGUGAAAUUCAUCUGAGGUGAAUUCACCUAAGGUCUUACUCCCAAUAAACCUUUUGCCUUUCUGACUCCAUCUCAGCAUUCCUUCCCGGAGGAUUCAACUGCCACACUUGUCUUGGUAUGGCUGGAAGAAAGAGACUGAAGGAGAGAGGUCUAAAACCAGGCUGUAGAGGUAAGCAAAGCCAGAACACACAGGACUUGUUAGGCCAUGCUAAGUAUUUUUUACUUUGCCAUUAGGGCAGCUGGAAGUCACUGCAUGUUUUUAAACAGACUGAGGAGGAGUGGGGAAAAUGAUCAAAUGUAAAUUUGAAAAAUUUGAAAAAUGAUCUAAAUGUAAAUUUAGAAAGGCCACUCCAGCUGUUAUAUGUUAAAAAGGCUGGAGACUUGGGAGACUGAGGACAAGAAGAUCAAUAUGCAUGCUAUAACUGGAGUCUAAAAAGAGAAAAUAGUGGCUUGGGCUAGGAUGAACCAGACAGUGAAGGUUUGAAAGAUAUUUAAAAAGUAGAAUCUCCAAAAUUUGGUGAUUUAUUGGAUGUGGGUGGUGUGGGAAAUGUAAAAGUCAAGGAUGCCCAGAUCUCUGGCUUGAGCUACUAUGUGGAAAGUGGUGCUAGAUGCUGAUACAGGGAGUCCUGUGGGAAACAAAUGUGAGAGUUCAACUUUGGACAUGCAGAGUUGGAGAUGCCCCUGGGAUAUCCAAGAGCACUAUAAAGAGUUGGAUAUAUUGUUCUGGAGUGUGAACAGAAAUUUAGGCUGGAGAAGUACAUUUGGGAGUCCUUAGCAUACAGAUGGAAGCAAAUGAGAUCAUCCAGGAGAGGUACAAUGUUUUGAGAGAGACGUAAGAGAUUGACCUAGGAAACUCAGGCAUAUAAGGUUCUGGAAGGGGACAAGAGGUUAACAAAUGAGACUUAGGCCAGGGAAUAUGGAGUCACAGAAACUUUGAGAGGGUUUUUGAUAAGGAGGAGAUAUAAAUAUUACCUAGUGUCUAAGCAAGGUAAGGACUGAAACUAUUCUUUUGCCUUAGUGACAUGGAGGCCAUUGGUGAACUUAAUAAGAGAC